rnacentral:rRNA from 1 species
AUUGAACGCUGGCGGCAUGCCUUACACAUGCAAGUCGAACGGCAGCACGGGAGCAAUCCUGGUGGCGAGUGGCGAACGGGUGAGUAAUGUAUCGGAACGUACCUUUCAGUGGGGGAUAACGUAGCGAAAGUUACGCUAAUACCGCAUAUUCUGUGAGCAGGAAAGCAGGGGAUCGCAAGACCUUGCGCUGAUUGAGCGGCCGAUAUCAGAUUAGCUAGUUGGUGAGGUAAAGGCUCACCAAGGCGACGAUCUGUAGCGGGUCUGAGAGGAUGAUCCGCCACACUGGAACUGAGACACGGUCCAGACUCCUACGGGAGGCAGCAGUGGGGAAUUUUGGACAAUGGGCGCAAGCCUGAUCCAGCCAUGCCGCGUGAGUGAAGAAGGCCUCGGUUGUAA